rnacentral:misc_RNA from 1 species
GAAGUCUCACUUUUUCUUUUCUCCUGCUUUGUUAAUUGAUUUAGUUGAUUUCGUUUUGUUUAGUUUAAUUUUUAGUGGGAGUUUGUCUCUCAUUAGUGAGGGAGUAUUUUCUUUCUUUUUUUAAAUUCUCUUCGCUACCAUUCUCUUCCUUACUAUCUACAGGAUGAUGUAGCUGAUAUUUCAGAGGCUAUUUUUGUGCAGAUCAUGAGCUUCUUGGCUGAAAUUUUAGUGGUUGGUUCCAGGGGCUUUUUCUACUUGACAAGCAUCUCAAGGGUUAAUCCAGCAUUGAUUGUAUGGUAAUUGGGUUUUGAUCCCUUUAGAAUAUAUUAGGGUGGUAAUUUU